CAUAAAAAAAGGCACUCCGAACCUUCAAGGCUCCCUCAGCCGAACCAGACCACGGACAUCGAGCAAACAUCCAGUCACCAAAUUUUUCUUCUUCGUAAUAUAUUAACAAAACAGGAGAUGCUUAUGGACCAAAUGCGAAUUAUCAUGAAGACCCUCCAGUGUAUGCAAUCAAGUCAGGAGACAGAGAUAGGCCUAGAUCGAAAUUUGUUGCCUCUCAAAGAUCUCACUUCUCUACAGAGCAUGGAGGGGAACCUGCGGAGUACUCCUGACCUCCAUAAGCAAUUGGUAAACACACUGGCUCUUAAAGGUGGGGCGGACGUGAAGGAGUCUGUUUGGAGAAUCAUGCAUGGUCUGUUUACCAACUCCUUGGCGAGGAAAGUUAACAUGAGAGGAUUGAAUGGAAAGAUUAGCUUCCUACGCCUACAGAUACGAGAUGUUGUGAUUGGUAAGUUGCCUUUUAUUCCCAAUAUGUAAGGAGUGAAACUAUUUCCUUAUGAAAUCAAUUCCUUGUGAAUCCAAAACUCAGGAACUCUUGCAACACGCAUGACAUCCAACAAAACAAUAAACUUUCUAAUCUGACGGGAAGAUUUGGGAGAAAGACCAUUUUCUCAUCUGUCCCUUCACCCAUCC